UUUCAUAUUUAUGAGUUAUACAAAUACAUUUUAUAAUGACAAAAUAAUAUUUUAUAAAUGUUUAUUUUUAUAUUUCUUCAAAAAUAUCUUAUAAAUGUACUAAAAUUUAAAUAUUGACUGGAAAAAAUCUCGGAAUGGACAAAAGAAAAGGAAGUAUUCCCCCGCUUUUGCUCAAUAUAUAAGAUUUUAUCUGUGGAUAACAUCUCGACCAAUAAGCUUGUCUGUUUUUAUAAAUAUAUUAGGUCAUCAACCAAUCAGUAUUUUCUUUCAUGAACUGUAUUUACUUAUGUAUAUAAGUAUAUAUUUAUACAUUCAGUGGAAUAUAAACUAUUCAUAGUAUUCUACAGUAUUCUAUAUUACUUUUGGAUUAGUCUCGAGAGAUCUACUUUUGAAAAAAAAAAAUAGUGUAAACCAGUCACGAUAUUCUACAAUAUUCUACAUUAUUUUAAUCUCAAGAAAUCUUUUACUUGUGAAAAAAAAUGAAUUCAAAAUCAAAUGAUAUACAACAACAUACCGAUUCAUUAGUCAAAGAUGAAAGUUACAAAUUAAUGACUCUUUGGCCGGAUAUUGUUCGUGAACUGACGGAAAAUAAUAAUCAA